rnacentral:rRNA from 1 species
GACAGAGGGGGCAAGCGUUGCUCGGAAUUACUGGGCGUAAAGCGCGCGCAGGCGGUCCUUUAAGUCUGAUGUGAAAGCCCACGGCUCAACCGUGGAGGGUCAUUGGAAACUGGAGGACUUGAGUACAGAAGAGGAAAGCGGAAUUCCACGUGUAGCGGUGAAAUGCGUAGAGAUGUGGAGGAACACCAGUGGCGAAGGCGGCUUUCUGGUCUGUAACUGACGCUGAGGCGCGAAAGCGUGGGGAGCAAACAGG